rnacentral:rRNA from 1 species
CCUACGGGUGGCAGCAGUGGGGGAUAUUGCACAAUGGGGGGAACCCUGAUGCAGCGACGCCGCGUGGGUGAAGGAGUGCUUCGGCAUGUAAAGCCCUAUCGGCAGGGAAGAAGCAAGACGGUACCUGACUAAGAAGCCCCGGCUAACUACGUGCCAGCAGCCGCGGUAAUACGUAGGGGGCGAGCGUUAUCCGGAUUCACUGGGUGUAAAGGGAGCGUAGACGGCCAUGCAAGCCAGGGGUGAAAGCCCGGGGCCCAACCCCGGGACUGCCCUUGGAACUGUGCGGCUAGAGUGCGGGAGGGGCAGGCGGAAUUCCUGGUGUAGCGGUGAAAUGCGGAGAUAUCAGGAGGAACACCGGCGGCGAAGGCGACCUGCUAGAACAUAACUGACGCUGAUGCGCGAAAGCGUGGGGAGCAAACAGGAUUAGAUACCCUGGUAGUC